CCAAUUGCGAAUAUUACUGUUUAAUACAAAAAUACACGAGAAGUCGAAUAAAUAAUGAAUAAUUUAUAUAUUAUAUUCAUUUUUUUUUUUUUUUUACUACGUUAAAUGCAUUUCCCAAUAUACGUGACCAUUUUCUACUCGAUGGUGUACUCUGCCGAUGUAAUUUUAUCGAUUCGAGCGCUGCGCGAUAUUACAAUGAUAGGUACUUUCACGGUGAUCGAAAAUCGAAACGAAACACAAUAAUGCACAAAUCCCGCGAAAAAAACCACCGGCAAACAAAAUAUCCCCAAAGCAACCAUACUGUCAAAAUUAUAUGCAGGUAUAUAUAUAUAUGAAAAAAAAAAAAAAAAUUGAAUACAGUUUAAUUGUCAAUGGUUCGAGUGUAUAACGUGCGCGCAGCUGUCAAAAAUAAUAAUAAUAAAAAAUAAUUAAAAAAAAAAAAAACUAUAAUAUCGUAUCAGUCAGAAGUUCGCUUGCGCAUAUUAUUGGAUAGUGUUAUCAAAAAAAAAAAAAAUAAAAAACAAAAAAAAAUCUACUAACGUAUUUUCCCGAUUCCUCGAUGUAUCGCUCUAAACAAUCGAUUUUAGAACACAUAGAUACGGCUUAUUAAGGCAUAGGGAUGUUUGGCAACUACAAUUAUUAUUGGUGAGCGGGUUACCCCCUGAGAGUGUACGAGAUAACACGGUAAUAUUCAACAAAUUAUUAUUCUGGAAUGUUCGUCGUUCUCGUUUGUGAUCCCAUGCACACCGAAAACCCGGUUACGGAUGACACCGAUCAUACGAUAAUUGAUCUAAAACAAUCGCAGUACGUCUGUAAACUAUUUCGAACACUGUUAUUAUCGACAGUGCCCACAGCUGUGGUUUUGGCGUUUUUCUUUUUCGGAUUAAAUGAAAAC